CUGCAUCACUCCACCAGCACGCUAAGUAUUCUAGUUAGCCACGCUUCCCCAGGCUAAGGACAACAGGUGCAGUUACAGGGGAAACUUACCAAGUAGGGCACAGAUUAGCUGACAGAGAGCUACUGCCCACAGGGCUUCAAGCAUGGAGCCUUUUAAUUAACUGGAACCAGUCUGUUCUUCUCCAGAGUUUUGACUUCGUUCUAGCAUCAUUUCCCAGGCUUGCUUUCUGUACCAGAGUCUGGGCCCGUGGUCAAAAAUGUGCUUUCCCUACCAUUUGUCCUCUGCUUGGUUUUCCUAACAGUAUUUGCCAGUUGGUGGUCAACAGAGCAGCCAGAUAAAAACCAUUUGCCCAGUCCCCUCAUUUGACCUUGGCUUUUUUUUUUUUUUUCUAGACUUGUCAUAUUGAGAGACGCACAAGCCGAGAUGAUGAGACCCCAGAGGUGAGAGAGGAGUGUGAUGCGGUGGAGGCGAAGCAAGCAGGAACCAUCACACCAGGUCCUGUAAGUUGUGCAGAGAGAGCUUGCUUGUUGACAAAACCCUGGCUGGUGUAGAGGAGGGUGGGAGAGGCCAGGGUGAGGCUGGGUUCCAAGAUGAACUUCACUGACCUCAGUUCCAGUUUUUAUUUUGCUAAGGGCCUCUCAUUUGGAUCCUGUUUCUGGUCCACGGCGUAUGGGCGGCAGCGCCUGGAAAAACCAUGACUUCAUCUCCCUGGCUCCACCUGUGAGCUUGCCUAAUCUCUUCAGGCUUCCGUGACACAGGGCCAGGAGCAAAGAGUUCCGGAUGUGACUGGUAAGGCUCUUGGCCAUCAUGCCUACUCAGUCAUGAAAGUCACCCUGGCCCAUGCUGCGGUUAACAACUGGCAUCCUCUAGAUGGGCAUCCUAAGUUGGGGUCUGUGUGUGCUGAGAUUACAGACGAAUGAGAGUGUGCCGGCGUGUCUGGCACUGCCUACUGGUCCCGCAAUGUCUGGUGCCACUAUUAACCCAAAUCAAGCCAGAAGUAGACUGCCAAAGACCCCCUCAUGCCUGAAUGACCCCAAAUGUCCUUGGAGCACAGUUGCUGAGCAUCCCACUGCAUCUUGAGUAUCAAUGGGCAACCCGGCCGGCAUGAUAUGUCCGGAAAUGAACCCUGAGUUAUACCGUGAGCAUCGGACUGGCAGCCACUGAGCUGUGGAAGUGAUCAGAGCAUGGCCCGGUGGCUUGAAAGAGGUGCUGAGCAAUUUGAGAGUGCCCAGAGCAGGAAGGGUAGGGACCGUGACAACAGAGGAGAGUUGAUAAAAGGAGCCAGGAAAGGGAACAUGAAAAAUCCCACAGGCCUGUCCAGUCUUCUAGGCACAAGGUCUUAAGACCCUGGGCUGAGAUUUUGUAACACUGGCCACUGCUAAGGGCUAAGGAGAUAACCAAAGCCCCCACAGAGACUAAAAGUAGAGGGCGCCACUUCCUACUACUCCCCCAGCUCAGCUACUGCUCUCUGCUGUCAUAUCCCGAGGGCAACAAAGGCUCCUGGAGACAAGCAGUUGAAGUCUCUUGCAUACAGGUGAUUUCCAUCAACUAGAAUGAAACAAAAUCAAAAACCUUCCAACUAGCCAGGUAGCCUGUGCUACUGAAAGUAGGCAAGGAAGGCCACACAAGGGUAAGUUCAGGUCUAAAGUACAGUAAUAGAGAGGACAGCACAGGGGGAGAGCUGACUGAGGGAGACUGGGCAGCCUGUUUAGUAAUUUUGUAUUUUUCUGCAAGCCUAAGAGCAAUCGCCACGUUGUGCUUGAGUUCGAGAAAGCGAUCUAUAAAGGCAAGCAGGCUCAGCCAGUGCCGUUAGAGAUGGCUUUCAGCUGUCUGGCUGUAUA
rnacentral:lncRNA from 1 species